CUAGCAUAUCAAUAAGCGGAGGAAAAGAAACCAACAGGGAUUGCCCUAGUAACGGCGAGUGAAGCGGCAACAGCUCAAAUUUGAAAUCUGGCUCUUUCAGAGUCCGAGUUGUAAUUUGCAGAGGGCGCUUUGGUGUUGGCAGCGGUCCAAGUUCCUUGGAACAGGACGUCACAGAGGGUGAGAAUCCCGUACGUGGUCGCUAGCCUUCGCCGUGUAAAGCCCCUUCGACGAGUCGAGUUGUUUGGGAAUGCAGCUCUAAAUGGGAGGUAAAUUUCUUCUAAAGCUAAAUACUGGCCAGAGACCGAUAGCGCACAAGUAGAGUGAUCGAAAGAUGAAAAGCACUUUGGAAAGAGAGUCAAAUAGCACGUGAAAUUGUUGAAAGGGAAGCGCUUGCAGCCAGACUUGCCUGUAGUUGCUUAUCCGGACUUUUGUCCGGUGCACUCUUCUGCGGGCAGGCCAGCAUCAGUUUGGGCGGUUGGAUAAAGGUCUCUGUCAUGUACCUCUCUUCGGGGAGAACUUAUAGGGGAGACGACAUGCAACCAGCCUGGACUGAGGUCCGCGCAUCUGCUAGGAUGCUGGCGUAAUGGCUGUAAGCGGCCCGUCUUGAAACACGGACCAAGGAGUCUAACAUCUAUGCGAGUGUUUGGGUGUCAAGCCCAGACGCGUAAUGAAAGUGAACGGAGGUGGGAACCCUUUGGGUGCACCAUCGACCGAUCCUGAUGUCUUCGGAUGGAUUUGAGUAAGAGCAUGGCUGUUGGGACCCGAAAGAUGGUGAACUAUGCUUGAAUAGGGUGAAGCCAGAGGAAACUCUGGUGGAGGCUCGCAGCGGUUCUGACGUGCAAAUCGAUCGUCAAAUUUGGGCAUAGGGGCGAAAGACUAAUCGAACUAUCUAGUAGCUGGUUCCUGCCGA
rnacentral:rRNA from 1 species